UGGGGAAUAUUGCACAAUGGGCGCAAGCCUGAUGCAGCCAUGCCGCGUGUGUGAAGAAGGCCUUCGGGUUGUAAAGCACUUUCAGCGAGGAGGAAGGUGGUGAACUUAAUACGUUCAUCAAUUGACGUUACUCGCAGAAGAAGCACCGGCUAACUCCGUGCCAGCAGCCGCGGUAAUACGGAGGGUGCAAGCGUUAAUCGGAAUUACUGGGCGUAAAGCGCACGCAGGCGGUUUGUUAAGUCAGAUGUGAAAUCCCCGGGCUCAACCUGGGAACUGCAUUUGAAACUGGCAAGCUAGAGUCUCGUAGAGGGGGGUAGAAUUCCAGGUGUAGCGGUGAAAUGCGUAGAGAUCUGGAGGAAUACCGGUGGCGAAGGCGGCCCCCUGGACGAAGACUGACGCUCAGGUGCGAAAAGCGUGGGGAGCAAACAGGAUUAGAUACCCCUGGUAGUCCACGCUGUAAAACGAUGUCGAUUUUGGAGGUUGUGCCCCUUGAGGCGUGGNUUCCGGAGCUAACGCGUUAAAUCGACCGCCUGGGGGAG
rnacentral:rRNA from 1 species